CUUAAAAUUUUCAAGUAACGCAUUUUUAAUAAAGUUUUUUUUCAAUUACAAAAGAAGUCUCUUUACAACGACUAAUAGACACGUUCCAUCUAAUUUUUGUUUUUGUUAUCAAUUACUUGAAAAUUGUGGUAAUAUUGAUACAGGUCGAAAUAUAUAGUAUGUAUACGUAUAUCAUCCCUCGGAAUAAGGAAAACUAAAGUCAGCAAAAAGAGCUAAAAAACUAGACGACUAAACUUAUUUAAAACACUUUUAACAAGUUUAAUUUCAAGUUAAUGUUAUGUGUGGAUGUACCUUCAACCAAAUCAGUGUUAACAUUUUAGCAAAAUGUCAUAUUGUCAGGCUGUUUGAUUGGAAGAACCAAAGAUUGUUAUGAGGAUUGCAAAAGUUUUAAAUAUCAGAAACUGAAGGAGGCAUUGAUAAUCAGCAGAUAAUAAAAAAAGCAAAAGUACUGAUUAUACAAAUCUCUUAAAGUUAAACGAUCCCUACUUCCACAGCCACCUUGUCUCAAGCAUUCAAUUGCAUUCUAAGAUAUCUUUAUUCAAAUCAAGUGUGACUACUAUACCAAAAGACUGUAAAAUGGACCAAUCAACUAACCCAUCAGUACUUGCAAAGUCUCCUUUUUUGUUAGCUUGAAAAUUGAGUUCUAAAAUACCAUUAUUCACAUAACUACUAUAUCAAAGCACAAACUAAUGGAUUGAUCAAGAAGGGCACUGCAGUUGUCCUGCAGUUAUGCAACUUAUCAACCCAUAACUGCGAUAACUACAAAAAAAGGAUUGUAUGACUUCGGCAUCCGCAAUAUGGUAUCGUGCAUUGGUUCUUAUCUUUCUUAGAAUGGCUCCCUUCCGUAUAGGUGGAAAUAGGAAAGGUUAUGUCUUUUUUUCUAAUUCUUAAGACAAAGAGGCUUAUUCAGUUCAAGCAAAGAUGACAAUGAUCAUCAAGGAGCCGAUCAUGAUGACGAAUACAAUAAUGCAUUUAAUAAUAAAUAAAAUGAUUUUACUUGUAUUUUUGACUUAUAUAAAUAAAAAAUUAUCUGUUUAAUGUUUGAUUUGUUUUUGAGUAUUUAGAUAAUGCGUUCAGCGUUUAACUUUUCUUUACGGUACUUAUUUAUAGAAGCUUAAAUAAAAGAUAAGUUUGAUUCGUUUAUUAGUAUUUUUUAUUUAUUUAUGCUACUUUAAAUAAGCGUCGUAAAAUAAAGUUAAACGUGGCGAAGUUUAAAACGAAAGAUUUAGAUGGAGUUUAAAUAGCGUUUAAAGCGAACCAUUUAGAUACGGUUUAAAUGGAACAUUCGAUUGACUUACGUUCUAAAUCGAAACUAAAUUAAAUCUAAACAUUUAGAACGAACAUUAACUAAACGUUGAUUAAAUGUUCGAAUGCCCGUUGGGAAGAUGCAUGCGUAAAGUGACUCAGAUUCUUCAAGUUCUAAACUUCUAGAGUCAGAAUGAUAUGUAAAACAUAUCAUAAUUGUUUGCACAUUAGAGAAGCAUGGACUGCUAUUAAAGUGCAAAAAUUUGCCAAAUGUUUUUAAUCUGCAAUAUAUAUAGAACUACAAUGCCUAAAAUCUUAAAAAUCUUUAUCUGCAGUGGAUAUCCUGUGGGAAAAGACUUUGAAGAAAAGAGUUUGAAGGUCUUUUUCAGCUCUUGUAAUAAUGUUUUGGAUGAAAUAAUUUCAAAAUGUGUUCAUCUGUUGAAGAAAGCUGGAACUUAUGGAGAUAGAUAAUUUAAAAAAAACAUUAUGAGUAUAGUAAUAAUAGUGUCACAUACAGCAAAUAUCGAUUUGGUUGAAAAGUUGAAAGGCGAUUGUUUAAAGAGAAUAAUAGAAUAAAUAGCUUAAUAGAAUAGCAAAAAAACUACUUCAUUA
rnacentral:lncRNA from 1 species